rnacentral:lncRNA from 1 species
GAACUCAUGCGCUGCCUGGACCUCUAGCUUUUCGCCCUACACGCAGACGCCCUCUGCAAAACCCCAGUCCUGCAGACUUUCCCUAGCGGCGGGCGGAGGGCAUGAACCUGGAAGGCGAGGCAACAGCCCUCUUGGCAGGCGGGCAAAGGAUGAGACAAUGAGGUGGGAAAAGUCCUCAUUGUAUCUCCACUUAGGAGAUACGAUCUAGAGCAGACCCCUGGGGGAUAUUCCUUGGAGCCUCUAUCAACUAAUUUCACAGAUUCCAUGUUAAUGGGCAUUAUUUAAAAAGGGAUCUUACCACAGAAUUUGAUUUGGUGUCUCCUUGUUGACACCAUAUAAGAGCAAAUCUAACCACAUGUAGUGUUUUCACAAAAGUGUACCUAUCCAUCAAUUCUAGCCACAAACCUCUAAGGUCAGAAAUCUCAAAGAUUAAGCCAGAGGAAGGUGGA